rnacentral:rRNA from 1 species
GGCAUAAGUAACGAUAAUGCGGGCGAGAAACCCGCACGCCGAAAGACCAAGGUUUCCCCGGCCAUGCUAAUCAGCCGGGGGUCAGUCGGGACCUAACACGAACCCGGAAGGGGCAGUGGAUGGACAACGGGUUAAUAUUCCCGUACCCGCAAUGCGACAAAAGUGACGGGGCGCCAUAGUUGGUGCGUGCUGACGGAAUAGCACGUUGAAGCGUAAGCGAUAGUACGACAAGGCCACGGCCGCGUCGAUAAUCCAGCGGAGGCGCCUCCAAGAAAAGCGAGCAUUGCGGCCCGUACCGUAAACCGACACAGGUGGUCGGGAUGAGAAUUCUAAGGCGCUCGAGAGAUUCAUGGUCAAGGAACUAGGCAAAAUGGACGCGUAACUUCGGGAGAAGCGUCGCUCCCUUUCGGGGGAGCCGCAGUGAACUGGUCCAGGCGACUGUUUAUCAAAAACACAGGGCUCUGC